UGGGGAAUAUUGGACAAUGGGCGCAAGCCUGCUCCAGCCAUGCCGUGUGAGUGAUGAAGGCCCUAGGGUCGUAAAGCUCUUUCACCGGUGAAGAUAUUGACGGUAACCGGAGAAGAAGCCCCGGCUAACUUCGUGCCAGCAGCCGCGGUAAUACGAAGGGGGCUAGCGUUGUUCGGAUUUACUGGGCGUAAAGCGAACGUAGGCGGACUAUUAAGUCAGGGGUGAAAUCCCGGGGCUUAACCCCGGAACUGCCUUUGAUACUGGUAGUCUUGAGUUCGAGAGAGGUGAGUGGAAUUCCGAGUGUAGAGGUGAAAUUCGUAGAUAUUCGGAGGAACACCAGUGGCGAAGGCGGAUCACUGGCUCGAUACUGACGCUGAGGUGCGAAAGCGGGGGGAGCAAACAGG
rnacentral:rRNA from 1 species